rnacentral:misc_RNA from 1 species
GGAACCGGUCGGCUGGGG